rnacentral:rRNA from 1 species
UGCGUAGGUGGAUUGAUAAGUCAGCGGUGAAAGUUUGCAGCUUAACUGUAAAAUUGCCGUUGAAACUGUCAGUCUUGAGUGCAAAUGAGGUAGGCGGAAUGUGUUGUGUAGCGGUGAAAUGCUUAGAUAUAACACAGAACUCCGAUUGCGAAGGCAGCUUACUGGGAUGCAACUGACACUGAUGCACGAAAGCGUGGGGAUCAAACAG